GAACGCUGGCGGCGUGCUUAACACAUGCAAGUCGAACGGAAAGGCCCUGCUUGCAGGGUACUCGAGUGGCGAACGGGUGAGUAACACGUGGGUGAUCUGCCCUGCACUUCGGGAUAAGCUUGGGAAACUGGGUCUAAUACCGGAUAGGACCGCACUUUAGUGUGUGUGGUGGAAAGUUUUUUCGGUGUAGGAUGAGCUCGCGGCCUAUCAGCUUGUUGGUGGGGUAAUGGCCUACCAAGGCGGCGACGGGUAGCCGGCCUGAGAGGGUGUACGGCCACAUUGGGACUGAGAUACGGCCCAGACUCCUACGGGAGGCAGCAGUGGGGAAGAUUGCACAAUGGGCGCAAGCCUGAUGCAGCGACGCCGCGUGGGGGAUGAAGGCCUUCGGGUUGUAAACUCCUUUCGCUAGGGACGAAGCUUUUUGUGACGGUACCUAGAGAAGAAGCACCGGCUAACUACGUG
rnacentral:rRNA from 1 species